rnacentral:rRNA from 1 species
GGCUGUCGUCAGCUCGUGUCGUGAGAUGUUGGGUUAAGUCCCGCAACGAGCGCAACCCACGUCUUUAGUUGCCAGCAUUGAGUUGGGCACUCUAGAGAGACCGCCGGUGAUAAACCGGAGGAAGGUGUGGAUGACGUCAAGUCAUCAUGCCCCUUACAUCCUGGGCUACACACGUACUACAAUGCUACGGACAAAGGGCAGCAAACUCGCGAGAGCUAGCAAAUCCCAUAAACCGUGGCUCAGUUCAGAUCGUAGGCUGCAACUCGCCUACGUGAAGGAGGAAUCGCUAGUAAUCGCAGGUCAGCAUACUGCGGUGAAUACGUUCCCGGGCCUUGUACACACCGCCCGUCACACCAUGGAAGUUGGCCACGCCCGAAGUCGUUACUCCAACCCGCAAGGGAGGAGGAUGCCGAAGGUGGGGCUGAUGACUGGGGUGAAGUCGUAACAAGGUAGCCGUACCGGAAGGUGCGGCUGGAUCACCUCCUAAC